AUGGCGGGGAAGAAUGAGGAGGAUGGUUCGACAGUGUUCCGGCCAGGCACGGCGGCUUCGUCGCCGGUGCGCACUGUGGUGGCUUUAGCGUUGUGGCUUGGAGCCAUCCACUUCAAUCUCCUGCUUGUCUUGGCAUCCGUCUUCGUCUUCCCCGGACGCAUUGCCGCCUUGGUACUAGGCACGCAGCUCUUCUUCAUGUUCGCUCCUGUGAGUAACACUAACGGAUGGGGGCGAAACGUCGCCAGGUUCAUAUGCAAACACGCGGUCGGCUACUUCCCCAUCACUUUGCAUGUGGAGGACUACGAUGCAUUUGAUCCCAAUACAGCUUACGUGUUUGGUUAUGAGCCGCACUGCGCUAUGCCCUUGGGCUUGUGGGUCGUUGCAGCCCCCAUGGGGUUUAUGCCUCUGCCGAAGAUGAAGAUCUUAGCAAGUAGCGCGGCAUUCUACACACCUUUCCAGCGGCAAAUAUGGACCUGGCUAGGGUUAGUUCCGGCAUCGAGAAAGAACUUCUCCUACUAUCUCGGAGCCGGCUAUAGUUGUGCCGUUGUGCCAGGAGGCCUGCGUGAGAUGCGAUAUAUGGAUCAUGAACCUGACUCAGAAGUUGCUUUCAUUAGAUCAAGGAAAGGAUUCGUAAGAAUAGCCAUUCAAACUGGUUGCCCUUUAGUCCCAGUGUUCUGCUUUGGACAAGAUCGUGUUUACAAUUGGUGGAGACCCGGAAGUAAUUUACUUGUUAAGAUAGCUGGAGUACUCAAAGCUCCCGCAAUUGUCUUCUGGGGUAAAUUCGGAACCUUCAUACCAUUUCGGUUGCCUAUGCAUGUGUUUGUUGGAAGACCUAUUGAAGUAACGAAAAAUAACCAACCUACAAUGGAUGAGAUAAAUGAAGUGCACAAAAAAUUUGUGAUGGCUCUGCAGGAGUUGUUCAACAAGCACAAGUAUAAAGCUGGAUGCCCUAACCUCCAACUACAAGUCAUAUGA
rnacentral:rRNA from 1 species